rnacentral:rRNA from 1 species
GACGAACGCUGGCGGCGUGCUUAACACAUGCAAGUCGAACGGUAAGGCCCUUCGGGGUACACGAGUGGCGAACGGGUGAGUAACACGUGGGUGAUCUGCCCUGCACUUCGGGAUAAGCCUGGGAAACUGGGUCUAAUACCGGAUAGGACCACUGCCUGCAUGGGUGGUGGCGGAAAGCUUUUGCGGUGUGGGAUGGGCCCGCGGCCUAUCAGCUUGUUGGUGGGGUGAUGGCCUACCAAGGCGACGACGGGUAGCCGGCCUAAGAGGGUGACCGGCCACACUGGGACUGAGAGACGGCCCAGACGCCGACGGGAGGCAGCAGUGGGGAAGAUUGCACAAUGGGCGCAAGCCUGAUGCAGCGACGCCGCGUGAGGGAUGACGGCCUUCGGGUUGUAAACCUCUUUCAGCACCGACGAAGCGCAAGUGACGGUAGGUGCAGAAGAAGGACCGGCCAACUACGUGCCAGCCGCCGCGGUAA